UGAACCUGCGGAAGGAUCAUUAUUGAACUGUGUUUUUCAAAAACACUUACUCGAUGGGUUGUCGCUGGCUCCUCUGGAGCAUGUGCACGCCUGUCUUGACUUCAUUCAUCCACCUGUGCACCACUUGUAGUCUUUGAGGGGUCUGAGAGAGUGGCUGACUUGUCGGGAAUUCUCCCGGAUGUGAGGACUGCAGUGUGAAAGCACGGCUCUCUUCUACCUGGCCAUGAACCCUGCCCCUCGAGGUCUAUGUAUUUAUUCAUACACUAUGUAGCAUGUUACAGAAUGUCUCAAUGGGCCUUUGUGCCUAUAAAAUCAUAUACAACUUUCAGCAACGGAUCUCUUGGCUCUCGCAUCGAUGAAGAACGCAGCGAAAUGCGAUAAGUAAUGUGAAUUGCAGAAUUCAGUGAAUCAUCGAAUCUUUGAACGCACCUUGCGCUCCUUGGUAUUCCGAGGAGCAUGCCUGUUUGAGUGUCAUUAAAUUCUCAACUCCUCCAGCUUUUGUUAAGUUGGCUUUGGAGCUUGGAUUGUGGAGGUUUGCUGGCCCUUCUAUUGACUGGGUUCAGCUCCUCUGAAAUACAUUAGCGGAACCGUUUGCAAUCCGCCACAGGUGUGAUAAUUAUCUACGCCAGUGGGUUGCUCUCUGUGUUCGGCUGCCAAUCGUCUCUGCUUCAAGAGACAAUUUUCUGAAUGCUUGACCUCAAAUCAGGUAGGACUACCCGCUGAACUUAAGCAUAUCAAU
rnacentral:rRNA from 1 species